UUUAAAAAAUAAAUUUCACUC
rnacentral:piRNA from 1 species